rnacentral:rRNA from 1 species
UACGUAGGGGGCAAGCGUUGUCCGGAUUUAUUGGGCGUACAGAGCGUGUAGGCGGUUUGGUAGGUCCGCUGUGAAAACUCGAGGCUCAACCUCGAGACGCCGGUGGAAACCAUCAGGCUAGAGUCCGGAAGAGGAGAGUGGAAUUCCUGGUGUAGCGGUGAAAUGCGCAGAUAUCAGGAAGAACACCCGUGGCUAAGGCGGCUCUCUAGUACGGUACUGACGCUGAGACGCGAAAGCGUGGGGAGCGAACAGG